rnacentral:lncRNA from 1 species
GAAGUUGGUGGCGCGUCCUGCUCUUGGGGCGCCGGAGCGGUCAAAGUGGCCAUCAUCUCUCCUCUCGGGGUCGGGGGCGCUUUUGGGCGCUUUGGGUUGGGUUGGGUUGAUGCCUGGAUAGGGAUGGGGGAGCGGAGCGCCUGUCUUUUUUUUUUUUUUGAUAAAGAGCGGAGCGCCUGUCUUUCUGCUGUACUGCCGGCAUUGGACCCUUCCUGUCCCGAUAGCUCGCUUUGCCCAGGGGGCGCUGGCGCGCUGCUGGCUUUUGAAAACUCCGUCUGGCCUCUCG